rnacentral:lncRNA from 1 species
CAAGGAAUACCUGGGAUAGGAUAAAGUAAUCCUUCUAACCCCCCCCUUAAAAGAUUUAGAUGCACUAUUGUAAAGUGGUUGUUCCACUGGAUAUUAUAAGGUGAAUGCACCAAUUUGUAAGUCGCUCUGGAUAAGAGCGUCUGCUAAAUGACUUAAAUGUAAAUGUAAAUGUAGAAAGUAAGAGAGAGAGAGAGAGAGAUGAUCUCUAAUAUAAAAGUGUGUAGUAAAUUUUCUGUAAGGGUUUGGAGCACAGAGCAGACUCAAGAGUUUUCUGUUGCUUAUAUGGCCUAACAUCUGUCCUAAUCUCUUUGAGUAGCUUACGACUUGCGACUAAAUUCUUGUACAGUUUCUAGCUAGCAGCUAACACAUGUAAACUACUUUCUUAUUUUUCUUCACUGACCUGGUGUGACUUUCUUUUGUCCUGUCCACUCAAAGAUCUACACAAUCGAACAUAUAAUAACAUCCUGUUAUUAAUUCCCUGGGUACAAUAAAUAUGUGAGAAACACACUAGGCAGUGGGAGUGGAGAGAGAGGUUUCAGCUACUGAACUGUGUUACCUAUCGUUCUGAAGGAGACAGGUUUCAGCUACUGAACUGUGUUACCUAUCAUUCUGAAGGAGACAGGUUUCAGCUACUGAACUGUGUUACCUAUCGUUCUGAAGGAGACAGGUUUCAGCUACUUAGCUGUGUUACCUAUCAUUCUGAAGGAGACAGGUUUCAGUUACUGAACUGUGUUACCUAUCGUUCUGAAGGAGACAGGUUUGAGCUACUUAGCUGUGUUACCUAUUGUUUUGAAAGUUGUUUCAAUCAUCGUAAUCCUUCCUCACCAUCAUACCUCUACCUACAUGGGGCUCCAGAUGCUACAGCUGCAUAAACAUAUGUACACACACACGCACGCACGCACGCACGCACACACACACACACACACACACACACACACACACACACACACACACACACACACACACACACACACAUUCAAGUAAUUAGCAUUAGCAUGAUAAAUCUCUCUCUCUGUCUUUAUCUCUCUCUCUCACUCUCUCUCUCCUUCUCUCCAUCAGUGAUAGCUAUGAGAAAUCUCCUCCAUGGCCUAUUUAAUCUGAGAGACCGGGCCUUCUGUUUGUCUCUCUCUUUCCACUCAGCAAACACUGAUAAAUCACAGCAAAGUACCCACUAUUAGUAAGUGCGAAUAGCUCAUUGUGAUGAAAUUACC